UCACAUAAAAACUAAAAACAAUAAAAUGAAAAUAAAUUAACAAAGAUGCAAAAAAAAAAAGCACAAAAGCCGUGCCAAAAUGCUUUUACUGCAGCAAACACCGCAAAAAACUGCAGCCAAGGGGCUGUGGCCGGGCAAGGGAGAGGGGAGCAUUGGUUGGGGGUAGCAGUGUGCAAGGGAAGAGCGCGAAACGCUUUUGCCGCACAGCUAUUCGCGUCUGGCGCCCAAAAGUAUGCCGCGCAAAUAUGUGAGCAUGAGCUGAGUGAGCAGUCGUGUCCAUGGGCGCCUGCCACGCCCAUAAAUUAUGCUUAUGUAUUUAGGGCCGCAGGCGACGAGUAACUAAUUUAUAGGGUAUAUACGUAGCCCAAGGACACAAACGCAAUCGAGACUCAUAAUUGUCAAUGGUUAGCGAAACACUUAAGGAAACUCUAACGUCCCUCCGCCCCACCGAUAGCAGAAGUUAAUUAAUUUGCACAAAGCUGAAGGAGUUAAGUGAGUUAAGUUAAGCUUUCAGACAACUGAGCUCAGCUGAGAUGACUAGGGCUAAGGUCAGUUCAAGUCAAGUCAAUUUCAAUAUGUGAAUGCAUUUCAAUAUGUGAAUGAGAAUGGAAUAUGAAAAGGAAAUCAGACGUGAAAUAAAUCGAUUUGUGGAACAUUUGUUCAGAUUGUUUCGCUAUUGUGAUGUAUAUAUAUCUGACGUACACAUACCUGUAUAUGUAUAUACCUUUUUUAUUUUGAUAUUACAUUGUGUUUUGAAUAAUAGUACAAUUACUAAGCCAUUUCUACAGACUUAUUAACACUACGACAUAUGUACAUACAUAACGCGCUGAUAUGAAAUAUGGUUUUUGGGAAGAAUAAGUGGCAAAUUAACUGUGUUUAGUAAUUCGAAAUUUAUUAGAAUGAGAACAGAAUACCCAUGGCUGGCUUUACGAAAGCUAAAAUGCUUCAAUGAACUGAAAUGAAAGGCAAAUGUAUAUAAUGAAAAUAUUAUAAAUCGGAUGGCAAUGCAAAGGAGGACGCCGGUUGUUUAUUAAUACGAAUGGGGCACGCCAAGCUGAGCAUCAUUCAAAUGAUUGGCAAACGAAAUCGUAUUGAGGGAGAGCCAUGCCUCAUUGGCACUUAGAGCAGCGGGGCGGGGGGAAUGCAUUUCAAUUUAAGUAUCUAUGAAGUUGAAGCCGACUAUUUCGACUACCGAAAUUGUGCAAAUCAAUAUGAAGCGAGGUGCCGAGCAGUGACUAUUACCUGCAUUCAGGUUCUGGGCAGAAACAGACACUAAAUUGCCAUACGACAUCCCUGGUUUCAAUUGGAUGGUAUCCAUUCAAUAUGUGGGAUGUUUUUAGCACAAUCUUUUCCGUCGACUGAUUCUUUUGUGUUCCUCUAUUGAAAUGGAUCUUUGCCUUCCGCGCUGCCCCUUUGCUGUCUGUCUGCCACACGCAAGCAAAGUGUCGCAAAGUGUUGCGAAUGAUCAAAGCGAAAGACGGACACUUGAAAUCUGCUGCAGCAGUGAGUGCAGUGCCAAAGCGGAAACUGCCUUCAGUUAUGGCACAAAGCGACAGCAAAACAGCAACUAGAAUCAAGGAGAAGAGACAGCAGCCGCACCAGGAGGAGGCGUCGCUACUUGACACCUAGUCGGGUGACUCCCCAAGUAGACCGCGGGUCUCGUGGGGCUAGCGGGAGCCGCGGUACUCGCGAGGCAGCCAACAAGUGUUUAGCAUUUUGAUUUCAGUGCAAUUAAAACGCUCAGCUCAGUUGGCAGCGCUCGUCUACGGUCUUUGUUGUUGUUGUCGCCGCCUCCAAACAAACAGGCAAACAAACAACGAACAGCCACAAAAGACGCACACAAAGGCAACAACAACGAUGGGCCCCUUAAAAGAGCUGCCUUCAACAGUCGUGCGCUGAGCUACCCUCGCGAGCAGAGCUGCAGAAUGGGUAUAUUAACAGCUGAAACUUGGCUGAAGUAGUUGAAAAUUAAAUAUUGAAUUCGAAA